CAAAACAAUGGCUGGGAUGGGAGCGUGUUUUGGGAAGAGCGGCUGAAUCUUGAGCGUUGACCCCAGUCUCGAUCGGGAGAAGAAAGUACAUUCUGUUUUCGCAUUGUUUGCUGGCUUUGAACUUCUGUAUUGCUUGGACAUCACCCAUAACCUUGAGGUGAAGCACUCCCACUGACGCGGGCCUCGCUGACAACCGCCGCCGGCCAGACAGAGCCUCGACGGAGGCAGCGCUGAAAAGCGAAGGGAAGGGAAGCUCUGCCGGUUGUUUGUCUGUUCGUUCGUCCGUCUGUCUGCGGGGAACGCGAGCCGAGAGGAGACGGACGGACGGACGGGCGGCAGGCAGGGAGAGAGGGACGGACGGAGAGCUGACGGGCAAUGAAAGUUUAGCGAGAAAGCUUCCUUUCCCGGUUAAAAAUUAACCGGCAUUCACGGCCAAUCCCAGAGACAGUUAAAGCACGCAGUUUCUCCGCUCGGGGUUUGAUUUCCUAGCCCAAUAAAAUCGCAUCCUCUGUGUUGCUGAGAGAAUGCGGCCAUAAAAAGUGUCCGUGACUCGUCCGCUCGCAGAGGCGGAAUGCACCGCUAUAAAGGCGGCGGCCGCCGUGCCGGGCGGAGCGGGAGGUGAACGGCCGGCGGCCCUCGGCGGGGCCCGGGGCUGCGCGGGGCGGCGCGGCCGCCAGAUGGCGAUCGUCAGAUCAAUGUCAAAGCCGCCGGCCGAGGGGAGCAGCCCGGCGGAAUCUUGGCCUUUGUUCACUUCGCGGCCGCACGCUCAAUUAGCGCGAGGGACCCGGCGGAGGUCGGGCCGCGGGGCUCCGGCGUGGGCAAUGCGCGGAGACAGCGGCCUUUAAAACCGUGCUCCUGGGGAGCUGUUGCAAGCCUAGUUAAAAGCACAUGUUGAGCCGGCAGAGAGCAUUUCUCAGAUGAUUAUCGGAACCUAUCGAUUUCAUCAAAGAUGCUCCAUUAAAAGCUCGGGACCCGAUCUCUCCUGACCUCCCCUCGGAAACGUCGGGCCCUUAAGAAGUCACGUCCCGAGGAGGAGCGGGGCAGUGGCUGAGGGUCCCUUUGCAACGUUUCAUUUUACACCAGCCGAGUUAAACUCAGCAUAUUUGAUCAAAUAUUUAUUUUUCCCCUUGUUGUUUCCCUGCUCCAUUCAAUACUCCGCUGAAUAAAUCAAAGGGACCCCAGCAGCAGUUAAAGCGCCCUCUGGUUACGAAUUGUUUACUGACGGCCGCGGUCAUAGGAUAAUAUUUAAAAAAAACAAGCUCGUUUCUUACAAUAACUGUUUAUUAUUUCACAUGAUUUGGGUUUGCGUGUUUCGGAGGGAAGAGGCGAAGCCAACUCAGUGUCUACACUGUGUUUAAUUAAUCGUGUACUCGACUUCAGUGCGCAUACCACAUCCAAACCCCUGGGAGGCUUUUUCAUGAGCUCUUUGGGUUUGUGUUUUGUUGUCGUCUUCUAUUUGUGUGUGUGUGUGUAUGUCAUAAUCUUCUCAUUAAACGCUCCGAAUCGAAGCGUCGGGCCAACGUGUGCGUUUGUGAGCGCUGCACCGCAAGCAGAUAUCCGUGUGCGCACCCACAUCUUACGGGCAGCUACAAAAAGGGGAGAGGGGAUACAGUUUCAAACGCUCCGUACAGCUGCGCGGCCCAUCUCUCUCACUAAAAAGGCUGCACUUAAAAGAGGCGGAUUUGUAUGUUUACGGUUCUACCGACGGCCGCAUAACCCGAUACCGCUGUUACUUCCGCGCGGUGCUGGGGCUCAGCGGACAAUGGGACCCCCUCGUUCGGAACGGGGCCGGGGAACGGCGAUGGGAUGGAGCCGGAAUGAAUCGGUCGGGACGCGUUUUGUUCCGCCGCACGCCAGAAUUCGGAGCUCGUCAGACUCACUCGCAAAAUAUGUUCCUAAUCCAAACGAGUAAACCGAUCCGCGCAGCCUCCGAAAUAUAUUUAGGAGAACGAGCCCCCGGAUGGCGGAAUAAAAUUAAAUCGCGCCCGAAUUUUUUAGCAGCGUAAUCCGCCACAACAAGCCAAGCCUCCCCCCCCUCCCCUCCGCCCACCCCAACCCUCAGCGUGAAAGUAUUUCUAGGCAAGAUAAAAUUAGUGGGGCCGUCAUUUGUCACCUAACUUGGCACGGCCGCGGUUCCUAA
rnacentral:lncRNA from 1 species